rnacentral:tRNA from 1 species
AGCCCGUUAGCUCAGUGGUUUGAGCGAAGUGCUGGCAACAAGGACCAACACCAAGGUCGCAGGUUCAAUUCCUGCUCGGUCCC